AUUUUUGGUGAUUUGUUUGUUGAUUUGUGAUGUUUGUUUAUCUGUAUGUAGGGGAAGCCUCCUCUGGCAAGAUUUUGCGGUUAUUAUUACUCUGCUGGUCAUCAACUCCACCAUUAGUUUCAUCAAGGAAAAUAAUGCGGGUAAUGCUGCAGCAGCUCUCAUGGCUCGUCUUGCUCCUAAAGCCAAGAGAUGGUCCGAGAUCAUUGGGCAAGCACGCCAAAGUGUCAAAGUUCUUAAAGAUCAGGAAGUGAUUCGAACCGUUCUUAAUAUAUUACAGACAAAUUGCCAGCUCUCUUGGAACAUUUCUCUUAACCCAGAUUUCAUUGAUCUUUUUCGACAUGCUUAAUGUCUACAGUCAAUUGGUGUGCGUGUCCAUGUAACCAGUGAUGAGAAGAAAGUAGUGCAAAGAUGGCCUUGCUUAUGGAAUGGUACACAAUGACCGUUUUACUUAUUUGCAAGCCUUUUGUUUUGUAUAUGGAGAAGUUUAGGC